CCUACGGGUGGCAGCAGUGAGGAAUAUUGGUCAAUGGGCGGAAGCCUGAACCAGCCAAGUCGCGAGAGGGAGUAAGGCCCUACGGGUCGUAAACCUCUUUUGCCGGGGAGCAGUGCCCAGCUCGUGAGCUGGGAGGGAGCGUACCCGGAGAAAAAGCAGCGGCAAACUCCGUGCCAGCAGCCGCGGUAAUCCGGAGGAUGCGAGGGUUAUCGGGAUUUAGUGGGGUUAAAGGGGGCGUGGGCGGGCAUUCAGGCCGGCGGUAAAAUUGCGGGGCUAAACCCCGCCGGGCCGUAGAAACGGGGGGCCUUGAGUACCGGAGAGGUACGCGGAAUGCGUGGUGUAGCGGUGAAAUGCAUAGAUAUCACGCAGAACCCCGAUUGCGAAGGCAGCGUACCGGCCGGUCACUGACGCUGAGGCACGAAAGCGCGGGUAUCGAACAGGAUUAGAUACCCCUGUAGUC
rnacentral:rRNA from 1 species